rnacentral:lncRNA from 1 species
CAGUUUAUUGUUGUACAUAUGAGGUACCAUGCUACUAUCAGAAUUAUAUCCAGUUUUUUUAUUUUAAAAAACUCAGAAAAAAAAAUGUUUCCAUUAAUUUUCAUUCAAUGUGAAUGACAAGAAUAUUAUAGCUAUAAACACUGAAAUAACCAUUUCAUUUCUUCCUGAGGAAGUUUCAUAUUUUAAGCAAUGAAAAAAGAAUGCCAUACAAAGCUAGUUUGAAAUCACAUUAUCUGUUUCUUUCCCCAUCUGUAUUUAUGUUACUUUCAGAAGAACAUGACAACCACCCAGAGCAUCCAAUGUAGUAAGUGUGCAUGUCCCCUAGAUUUUGAGUUGUCUUCCAGAUACACUGAGUGAUCAAAAUUUCUUUCAAAGGUUUGCUGCUCUAGGUAGCAUAAUAUCUAUAUUAUGAAUGAGUAAAUUUCUCCUUUCAUCCCACAAGCAUCCAGUGUGUUUUUGACAUUUCUUAAAGGGUAAGCUGUUUAGUUGACUCAGUUUACCCAGACAGAAUUACACCAUUAGGAGCUUUGUUUAGAAGUUUAAAUGCACAUCUCAUCGUUGGAGCGUAAAUGCAUUGUUUUUCUUUUCCUUUCUUUUUUUUUAAAUCAGUAGAAGUGUUGUCAAAAUGAAAAUACAAUACCGUAUGUAACUCCUGGGGCCUGUUCUCAC